rnacentral:rRNA from 1 species
UACGUAGGUGGCAAGCGUUGUCCGGAUUUACUGGGCGUAAAGAGCGCGCAGGCGGUCGUCCAAGUCGCGUGUGAAAGCCCCCGGCUCAACUGGGGAGGGUCACGCGAUACUGGUCGACUCGAAGGCAGGAGAGGGUAGUGGAAUUCCCGGUGUAGUGGUGAAAUGCGUAGAUAGUCGGGAGGAACACCAGUGGCGAAGGCGACUACCUGGCCUGUUCUUGACGCUGAGGCGCGAAAGCUAGGGGAGCAAACGGG